rnacentral:rRNA from 1 species
GAGUUUGAUCCUGGCUCAGGAUGAACGCUGGCGGCGUGGAUAAGGCAUGCAAGUCGAGUGGGUUAGACCCACGGCAGACGAGGUAGUAACACGUAGGUACGCACCCUCUAGUCGCGCAUAACUAGUCGAAAGAUUAGAUAAUUCGCGAUGGUCCCCGUGAUGUCGCAAGACAUUUUACAGGGUAAAGAUUUAUCGCUAGAGGAGCGGCCUGCGCACCAUUAGCUAGUUGGUAGGGUAACGGCCUACCAAGGCAAAGAUGGUUAGCUGGUCUGAGAGGAUGAUCAGCCACACUGGAACUGAGAUACGGUCCAGACUCCUACGGGAGGCAGCAGUGGGGAAUAUUGCGCAAUGGGCGAAAGCCUGACGCAGCAACGCCGCGUGGGUGAUGAAGGCCUUCGGGUUGUAAAGCCCUGUCGGAGGGAACGAAUGCUCCUGAGGUUAACAGCCUCGGGAAGUGACGGUACCCUCAAAGGAAGCACCGGCUAACUCUGUGCCAGCAGCCGCGGUAAUACAAGGGCRAAUKSK